rnacentral:rRNA from 1 species
GACGAACGCUGGCGGCGUGCUUAACACAUGCAAGUCGAGCGGUAAGGCCCUUUCGGGGGUACACGAGCGGCGAACGGGUGAGUAACACGUGGGUGACCUGCCCUCAGCUCUGGGAUAAGCCUGGGAAACCGGGUCUAAUACUGGAUAUGACUGCAUGACGCAUGUUGUGGGGUGGAAAGCCUUGUGCGGCUGAGGAUGGGCCCGCGGCCUAUCAGCUUGUUGGUGGGGUGAUGGCCUACCAAGGCGACGACGGGUAGCCGGCCUGAGAGGGCGACCGGCCACACUGGGACUGAGACACGGCCCAGACUCCUACGGGAGGCAGCAGUGGGGAAUCUUGCGCAAUGGGCGAAAGCCUGACGCAGCGACGCCGCGUGAGGGAUGACGGCCU